ACUGUAUCAGCUGCUACAGAGAAGUUUCUUCCUGAAGGAAUUAAUCUUUCCACUGUUUCUUCUCUCUGAAGUCCCUCUGGGUUUAUGCCUUAGCAGCAAUCUGCCCAAG
rnacentral:lncRNA from 1 species